rnacentral:rRNA from 1 species
CCUACGGGUGGCAGCAGUGAGGAAUAUUGGUCAAUGGCCGGAAGGCUGAACCAGCCAUGCCGCGUGAAGGUCAGUGCCCUAUGGGCGUUAAACUUCUUUUGUGCGGGAGCAAUAAUGGUCACGUGUGGCCAGACGAGAGUACCGUACGAAUAAGCAUCGGCUAACUCCGUGCCAGCAGCCGCGGUAAUACGGGGGAGGCAAGCGUUAUCCGGAUUUAUUGGGUUUAAAGGGUGCGUAGGCUGUGAGGUAAGUCAGCGGUGAAAUGCCCCCGCUCAACGGGGUGAAGUGCCAUUGAUACUGCCUGGCUGGAAUGCGGAUGCCGUGGGAGGAAUGUGUGGUGUAGCGGUGAAAUGCAUAGAUAUCACACAGAACACCGAUUGCGAAGGCAUCUCACGAAUCCGCGAUUGACGCUGAUGCACGAAAGCGUGGGUAUCAAACAGGAUUAGAUACCCUAGUAGUC